CCACACCUGCCUCAGCGUCGGAG
rnacentral:rRNA from 1 species